GAUGAACGCUGGCGGCGUGCCUAAUACAUGCAAGUCGAGCGAACGGACGAGAAGCUUGCUUCUCUGAUGUUAGCGGCGGACGGGUGAGUAACACGUGGAUAACCUACCUAUAAGACUGGGAUAACUUCGGGAAACCGUAGCUAAUACCGGAUAAUAUUUUGAACCGCAUGGUUCAAAAGUGAAAGACGGUCUUGCUGUCACUUAUAGAUGGAUCCGCGCUGCAUUAGCUAGUUGGUAAGGUAACGGCUUACCAAGGCAACGAUGCAUAGCCGACCUGAGAGGGUGAUCGGCCACACUGGAACUGAGACACGGUCCAGACGCCUACGGGAGGCAGCAGUAGGGAAUCUUCCGCAAUGGGCAAAAGCCUGACGGAGCAACGCCGCGUGAGUGAUGAAGGUCUUCGGAUCGUAAAACUCUGUUAUUAGGGAAGAACAUAUGUGUAAGUAACUGUGCACAUCUUGACGGUACCUAAUCAGAAAGCCACGGCUAACUACGUG
rnacentral:rRNA from 1 species